AUGCAGUUGGUACGGUCUGGCAAGACAACGAUUAACAUUAACGGUGAGGUGGGGCCAUUCUUCUCGUCUUCUGCGGGAGUGAAGCAAGGGGACCCAAUACCCUCCCUUCUCUUUAAUCUCGCCGUGGAUGCGCUGGCAGGAAUCCUGGACAAAGCUAGGAGGGCCGGCCACCUCACGGGAGUUGUUGGUCACCUCAUUGGAGGAGGGGUCACCCAUCUCCAAUACGCCGAUGACACCAUGAUUAUGGUG
rnacentral:rRNA from 1 species